rnacentral:rRNA from 1 species
GUGCCUAACACAUGCAAGUCGAACGAGAAAGUGGGAGCAAUCCCAUGAGUAAAGUGGCGACCGGGUGAGUAACACGUGACUAACCUACCUUCGAGUGGGGGAUAACCUCGGGAAACCGGGGCUAAUACCGCAUAACAUCCGCGGGGGAAGAUCCUGCGGAUCAAAGCAGCAAUGGGCUUGAAGAGGGGGUCGCGGCUGAUUAGCUAGUUGGUGAGGUAACGGCCCACCAAGGCGAUGAUCAGUAUCCGGCCUGAGAGGGCGCACGGACACACUGGAACUGAAACACGGUCCAG